rnacentral:rRNA from 1 species
GCCCUUAGAGUUUGAUCCUGGCUCAGGACGAACGCUGGCGGCGCGCCUAACACAUGCAAGUCGAACGAGAGAGAGGGAGCUUGCUUCCUUGAUCGAGUGGCGAACGGGUGAGUAACGCGUGAGGAACCUGCCUCAAAGAGGGGGACAACAGUUGGAAACGACUGCUAAUACCGCAUAAGCCCACGACCCGGCAUCGGGAAGAGGGAAAAGGAGCAAUCCGCUUUGAGAUGGCCUCGCGUCCGAUUAGCUAGUUGGUGAGGUAACGGCCCACCAAGGCGACGAUCGGUAGCCGGACUGAGAGGUUGAACGGCCACAUUGGGACUGAGACACGGCCCAGACUCCUACGGGAGGCAGCAGUGGGGAAUAUUGCACAAUGGGGGAAACCCUGAUGCAGCGACGCCGCGUGGAGGAAGAAGGUCUUCGGAUUGUAAACUCCUGUUGUUGAGGAAGAUAAUGACGGUACUCAACAAGGAAGUGACGGCUAACUACGUGCCAGCAGCCGCGGUAAAACGUAGGUCACAAGCGUUGUCCGGAAUUACUGGGUGUAAAGGGAGCGCAGGCGGGCGAUCAAGUUGGAAGUGAAAUCCAUGGGCUCAACCCAUGAACUGCUUUCAAAACUGGUCGUCUUGGGUAGUGCAGAGGUAGGCGGAAUUCCCGGUGUAGCGGUGGAAUGCGUAGAUAUCGGGAGGAACACCAGUGGCGAAGGCGGCCUACUGGGCACCAACUGACGCUGAGGCUCGAAAGUGUGGGUAGCAAACAGGAUUAGAUACCCUGGUAGUCCACACCGUAAACGAUGAUUACUAGGUGUUGGGAGAUUGACCCUCUCAGUGCCGCAGUUAACACAAUAAGUAAU